CCGGGAUGUCACAGAAUCAUGGAAUCAAUUGGGGUGGAAGAGCUCUGUGAGAUCACUGAGUCCAACCUGGGACCCAGCUCCACCGUGGCAACCAGACCAGAGCUUUCAGUGGCUCACCCAGGCUUUGCUUGAACACCUGCCACAGUGAAUCUACCACCCACCUGGGCAGCCCAUUCCAAUAUCUGAUUACUCUUUAUGAGAAGAAAUUCUUCCUAAUGUCCAACCCAAACCUCCCCUGAUUUUGGGCUGUCAAAUGCUUCACCCAUCUCCUUCCUGGGUUCAAUCCACUCUCUCAAGCAGUGCCUAUUUACACCCCUAUGACUUCCAUCUUCAGUUCUGCAGCACAGUUUGUCCUGCUGAUUUUUAAGCCUUCAAGACUACAAGGACAUGCCUCAAAUACACUGCAAAUUAUCUGAA